GGCGGCAUGCCUUACACAUGCAGGUCGAACGGCAGCACGGGGGCAACCCUGGUGGCGAGUGGCGAACGGGUGAGUAAUACAUCGGAACGUGUCCUGUAGUGGGGGAUAGCCCGGCGAAAGCCGGAUUAAUACCGCAUACGAUCUACGGAAGAAAGCGGGGGAUCGCAAGACCUCGCGCUAUAGGGGCGGCCGAUGGCAGAUUAGCUAGUUGGUGGGGUAAAGGCCUACCAAGGCGACGAUCUGUAGCUGGUCUGAGAGGACGACCAGCCACACUGGGACUGAGACACGGCCCAGACUCCUACGGGAGGCAGCAGUGGGGAAUUUUGGACAAUGGGGGAAACCCUGAUCCAGCAAUGCCGCGUGUGUGAAGAAGGCCUUCGGGUUGUAAAGCACUUUUGUCCGGAAAGAAAACUUCCUGGUUAAUACCUGGGGAGGAUGACGGUACCGGAAGAAUAAGCACCGGCUAACUACGUGCCAGCAGCCGCGGUAAUACGUAGGGUGCGAGCGUUAAUCGGAAUUACUGGGCGUAAAGCGUGCGCAGGCGGUUCGU
rnacentral:rRNA from 1 species